UACAGAGGGUGCAAGCGUUGUUCGGAAUUAUUGGGCGUAAAGGGCGCGUAGGCGGUUUGUCCAGUCAGACGUGAAAUUCCCGGGCUCAACCUGGGGACUGCGUUUGAGACGUACAGGCUUGAGUGUGAAAGAGGGUCGUGGAAUUCCCAGUGUAGAGGUGAAAUUCGUAGAUAUUGGGAAGAACACCGGUGGCGAAGGCGGCGACCUGGUUCAUUACUGACGCUGAGGCGCGAAAGCGUGGGGAGCAAACAGG
rnacentral:rRNA from 1 species